rnacentral:rRNA from 1 species
UCUUUCCAGGGGUCGGCUCGACAAAGCUUCUUCGUGGGUGGAGUCAAUUUUAAAGAUAUCUAUCUAACAGGAGUGAACCGCGCCCGUCUCCUUCUUCUGCGGAUUGCGUAUAGCGUGUACGUACCGGCGGAGAACGCAAGGGUAAAAGUAGCAGGAGAACAAGAACUCAAGUAAGACGUUCAGGCUGCUACUAUGAGAGUGCGUUCGUUUCGGCGAGAAGAGGUCGCUGUUCGAGCAGAGGUUCCCGCCCCUGAAACGAGAGCCGAAGAAGAGCGGCUGCUCGAGGUUGUGCUCGAAUAUGGAACCGCAUACCAUGUUGUGGUAGGGACGUGCGUGGCAGCACACCCAGCGGUUGGCACUGUCGGGCUAGCGGCGGAGAAGCAGGCGCUGCGAGCGGUAGUGUUUGUCAAGACUGGACCACGACAGCCUGCGGGUUCCGGAGCGAAGAACCCGCUGGUUUUGUUUGUAGCACCGACCUCCUCGACCUUGACGGCGCCACGAAGAGCUGUGCCCAUUGAAGCAGGAAGCGAGCGGGUUGCCGUGGAUGUAUACCGUUUCGAAGCUAGUAGGGUGGCUGUGGGAGUAAGGUUCGUACUUCAAGCACCGCUCGAUGCCCCGUGUCCACCAACCCGCAGAGUAACGAACCUUCUCGAGCCUACUGGGUAGGAGGCCCCUGAAGAGGACGCCGGAACUAGGAUGGAGGGGUCGGGAAGUCUACGAGUAAGCCUUGCCUAGGUUCGACAUGAUGGCUCCACACACCUUACCGCGCUGACACAGGCCGCCGUGUAUGAGUUCGUUGCUGCUGAGGUAUCACAUGGUUCAUUUGCAGCCCGUUCCCCCACUCCAUAGGAACUGGGAGUUACAGAGGCUGCCGAGCGGAGAGUGCGCGUAGCACGAACUCGUGUGUCCGUUCAACUGCAGAGAAUCGACCUAGUUGGUCAGUACCCAUCAGUAGCCAAGUGCGGGGCUGCGACGGACACCGUAGAUGAGGAGCACACCUGGCAAGCCUAUGACGCUAAAGUGAUUCCGUCAUGGCCACACGGUCACGGAGCUACCCAAGGUCGGAUUGCCAGAACUGCAAAGCUCACCUACGGCCUCUUGUCUUUGUGACUGUACGUCGUUCGUUUCAGUAAAACACCGGAACGGACCUUACUUCCAGGGACUGUUCAGAAACGUAUAUGGGUUGUCCUCGAAACUGCUAACAUGGCGACUCACGUUAUCGCUAACGAGGACAUGUCGUAUACGAAUAGCGUCAAACUCGUCGCAGUAACGAUCCCAGUCGGACGGUGCCACGGACCAAACCUUUCCCCUCGAAUAGCUGUGCCCCUUCAUGUUGCCAUUGUGAAGAAAAUGACGUCCCUGUAUGGGAUUGAAUCCACUCUUGGACAUGGAGGCCGAACGGCUGUGGUUACCAGCUUUCUUCUUUUGUAACGAUUUCUAUUAUGAGGGUUAAUAUAGUAAGAACAACUAUGAAUGUAAAUAUUGAGAAUACUUCUACAAGUUUAUGUCUCCAUUAGCUGUUUUAUUUCCCUAGGAUUUCUCUGUUUAGGAUCCCGUGAAAUCGAGAAGGUCACUUUAGUGUCUGUUUUAGUAUCUUAAGGGUAAAUAGUCGAAGCUUCUGCAACAACGGCGUUGGUUGUUAAAGAGACUGAGUUUGGUUUAACCUUACCCUCCAAAACCGUUUCAAAUGUUCCCUUACUAACUACCACCAUUUCUCCAACGAUAGUUUUCCGAAUCACUCCCAAGAUCCGUUCCCUAUCUCCUCAAGUUUUUACUCUAACAAGACAAAAGAUUCGAUGUUGUGUCUUUGGAUCAAUCUGAGGAACCAACAACGUAAGUAUCUCUACUCUCUGAUGAUUAGAUACUUAUAAACGCAUUGUUUUCAAACUACGGAAGUAUAAACUACGAUGUUCUGUUGUACAAAACCUAACCGGAUGCGCGAAAUUUUAUUAAUUUCCUCAUCGUUCUCCAGAAGAAAUAGAGGUAGUUCUAAGUUCCAAUUGUUAUUAAGUAUCUCUGGAGUUUCGUUCGUUGUAUGAUAACCUGUGUCUUUACUUAGGGUUUUAUAGUCUAAAACCGUACCGUUGUUAAAAACCACUUUUAGUCGUUGUUCCUUUGUGACGUGCCCAACGACCCUGUAUCAUUCAUUGUUUUCAUGAACGGUUGGGUAUUAUGAUAUUUAGAAUACCGGAUCAAACUAGUCAAAAAUACAUGAAACGGCGACUUUAAUAAGUUUGUUACCAAUGUACAGUGGCCUUAUAUACUACCUUCCAAGUAAAAGACACUUCAGCCUGUGGAUAUCGAAACCACAAGAAGAGAACCUCUAACAUUCACCGAACUUCUAAUCGAGUCGCGUUGAGUGUUACUUGAUAGGUUCGGAAUGUUUAAAACGUACCUUUAAUACCCUUCUACCUUUUCGUACGCUCAACCAGCUGAGAAGUUAAAAACUCUGUACGGGUGAGGUACUUCAAGAUGCUACAUAGGUACAUCCUGAGAACACACAACUUCUGGUAGGCUUACUAUCCGGUGAUUACAGAAGACAAUAUAAAUCGAACCUCUUACUUUCACGUGAUGACGGUAGUGGUUUCGUUGGAGAUAUAAAACGUGUUUAUUUAACGUUUUGUUUUCUUUGCUCCCUAAUAUGCCUCUUGAGAUACUUAUGUUAGUGAUAGUGUUGUGAUGUCCCAGCGAUCUAGAAACCGUUAAACUUCAUAUAAAUUUUAAGUUAGAUAGAUCAACAACAUAUACAGUUUAAAAUUAGAAACACCACCUGAUCAACUUCUUUUAUACGGGAUCUCCGUUAUUAUUACAAUAAUAAAAUAAA